ACUCCUACGGGAGGCAGCAGUGGGGAAUAUUGCACAAUGGGCGCAAGCCUGAUGCAGCCAUGCCGCGUGUAUGAAGAAGGCCUUCGGGUUGUAAAGUACUUUCAGCAGUGAGGAAGGUGGGUAUGUUAAUAGCAUACUCAUUUGACGUUAGCUGCAGAAGAAGCACCGGCUAACUCCGUGCCAGCAGCCGCGGUAAUACGGAGGGUGCGAGCGUUAAUCGGAAUUACUGGGCGUAAAGCGCAUGCAGGUGGUUUGUUAAGUCAGAUGUGAAAGCCCGGGGCUCAACCUCGGAAUUGCAUUUGAAACUGGCAAACUAGAGUACUGUAGAGGGGGGUAGAAUUUCAGGUGUAGCGGUGAAAUGCGUAGAGAUCUGAAGGAAUACCGGUGGCGAAGGCGGCCCCCUGGACAGAUACUGACACUCAGAUGCGAAAGCGUGGGGAGCAAACAGGAUUAGAUACCCUGGUAGCUACGAG
rnacentral:rRNA from 1 species